ACUCCUACGGGAGGCAGCAGUGGGGAAUAUUGGACAAUGGGCGCAAGCCUGAUCCAGCAAUGCCGCGUGAGUGAUGAAGGCCCUAGGGUUGUAAAGCUCUUUCAUCGGUGAAGAUAAUGACGGUAACCGGAGAAGAAGCCCCGGCUAACUUCGUGCCAGCAGCCGCGGUAAUACGAAGGGGGCUAGCGUUGUUCGGAUUUACUGGGCGUAAAGCGCACGUAGGCGGACUAUUAAGUCAGGGGUGAAAUCCCGGGGCUCAACCCCGGAACUGCCUUUGAUACUGGUAGUCUUGAGUUCGAGAGAGGUGAGUGGAAUUCCGAGUGUAGAGGUGAAAUUCGUAGAUAUUCGGAGGAACACCAGUGGCGAAGGCGGCUCACUGGCUCGAUACUGACGCUGAGGUGCGAAAGCGUGGGGAGCAAACAGGAUUAGAAACCCUAGUAGUCCC
rnacentral:rRNA from 1 species